CCGGCUUAGUGGUGCUGUU
rnacentral:siRNA from 1 species